UCUGAAUCACCUUACUGAAAUAAACUUCUAAAAAAAGUUUUGAAAUCUCAUUUUGUUCAACUAUAUUGAUCUGGCUCUAAAGGCCUGAUCACAAGUCAAAAGCUGAAAAACCUGCAAUAUGUCUGAAGUUUCAUAAAUCAUCUACGGUUUGGAUUAAAAUCUGAGUUUGAUUAUUGCUCUCUUAUCCCAGCAAUAAUCCAUGCAUGUUUGAUUUUAAUUAAGAUUGUGAACAUUUUUUAUAACUUUUUUCUAUGAUUAUAUCUUAUACAAGUGCAGUGCUUUGAAACAUGGGAAAUAUUGAAUAGAUGCAAAAUGACUUACAUUUCAGCCAUGCAGCUGAGAGACAAAAUGACAUUACGCCAAACAAAAGAACCUGUUCUUAAUCUCUUCUCCAUGACUACCAGAUUUCAUGCCACACUUUGAAAUAUUGCUCUUUGGCAUACUCAUAAAAAAGUAGG